GUAGGUGGCAAGCGUUGUCCGGAAUUAUUGGGCGUAAAGCGCGCGCAGGUGGUUCUUUAAGUCUGAUGUGAAAGCCCCCGGCUCAACCGGGGAGGGUCAUUGGAAACUGGGGAACUUGAGUGCAGGAGAGGAAAGUGGAAUUCCACGUGUAGCGGUGAAAUGCGUAGAUAUGUGGAGGAACACCAGUGGCGAAGGCGACUUUCUGGCCUGUAACUGACACUGAGGCGCGAGAGCGUGGGGAGCAAACAGGGAUUAGAUACCCUGGUAGUCCACGCCGUAAACGAUGAGUGCUAAGUGUUGGGGGGGUUUCCGCCCCCUCAGUGCUGCAGCUAACGCAUUAAGCACUCCGCCUGGGAGUACGGUCGCAAGACUG
rnacentral:rRNA from 1 species